rnacentral:rRNA from 1 species
AACUUCUUUAUCACCGAGUGCUUGCACUCACCGAUAAAGAGUUGAGUGGCGAACGGGUGAGUAACACGUGGGCAACCUGCCCAAAAGAGGGGGAUAACACUUGGAAACAGGUGCUAAUACCGCAUAACCAUAGUUACCGCAUGGUAACUAUGUAAAAGGUGGCUAUGCUACCGCUUUUGGAUGGGCCCGCGGCGCAUUAGCUAGUUGGUGGGGUAAAGGCUUACCAAGGCAAUGAUGCGUAGCCGAACUGAGAGGUUGAUCGGCCACAUUGGGACUGAGACACGGCCCAAACUCCUACGGGAGGCAGCAGUAGGGAAUCUUCCACAAUGGGCGAAAGCCUGAUGGAGCAACGCCGCGUGGGUGAAGAAGGUCUUCGGAUCGUAAAACCCUGUUGUUAGAGAAGAAAGUGCGUGAGAGUAACUGUUCACGUUUCGACGGUAUCUAACCAGAAAGCCACGGCUAACUACGUGCCAGCAGCCGCGGUAAUACGUAGGUGGCAAGCGUUAUCCGGAUUUAUUGGGCGUAAAGGGAACGCAGGCGGUCUUUUAAGUCUGAUGUGAAAGCCUUCGGCUUAACCGGAGUAGUGCAUUGGAAACUGGGAGACUUGAGUGCAGAAGAGGAGAGUGGAACUCCAUGUGUAGCGGUGAAAUGCGCAGAUAUAUGGAAGAACACCAGUGGCGAAAGCGGCUCUCUGGUCUGUAACUGACGCUGAGGUUCGAAAGCGUGGGUAGCAAACAGGGUUAGAUACCCUGGUAGUCCACGCCGUAAACG